rnacentral:ncRNA from 2 species
GCGUUAUGGUAAGCGCCUGGGCUGGCUUUUAGCCAGCUGACGAGGUUGGGGGAUGAUCGAAAUUAUCGGCGGGUGCCCCCAUGGCCAUGGAAGAUAGGCCAUUAAGCUGUCCUACAAAACCGCGGAGCGAUCUGAGGGACAAAGGGGACGGUAAUUCUUCCG